rnacentral:rRNA from 1 species
AUUGAACGCUGGCGGCAUGCCUUACACAUGCAAGUCGAACGGCAGCGGGGGAGAAGCUUGCUUUUCCUGCCGGCGAGUGGCGAACGGGUGAGUAAUACAUCGGAACGUGCCCUGUAGUGGGGGAUAACUAGUCGAAAGAUUAGCUAAUACCGCAUACGACCUGAGGGUGAAAGUGGGGGACCGCAAGGCCUCAUGCUAUAGGAGCGGCCGAUGUCUGAUUAGCUAGUUGGUGGGGUAAAGGCCUACCAAGGCGACGAUCAGUAGCUGGUCUGAGAGGACGAGCAGCCACACUGGGACUGAGACACGGCCCGGAUGCCUACGGGAGGCAGCAGUGGGGAAUUUUGGACAAUGGGCGAAAGCCUGAUCCAGAAAUGCCGCGUGUGCGAAGAAGGCCUUCGGGUUGUAAAGCACUUUUGUCCGGAAAGAAAUGGCUCUGGUUAAUACCUGGGGUCGAUGACGGUACCGGAAGAAUAAGGACCGGCUAACUACGUGCCAGCAGCCGCCGUAA